AGGAAAACCAAUGGCAGAAUUCAUUGAUUUAAAGAAUAGGGAAAUCAGUUCUGCCACUAGCUGGGUCAUGUCUCACUGUGCGAGGUGUUGCAUUGAUUGAAGCAAGACUGCUGGCACAGCAUGAGCAGCUUGUAACAGGUAGCUUUGAGCUACACAGAAAGUAUCAGUGACUAAGAGUGGGAUUCAUUUCAGCUAACUUUAGCUGGUGUUAAGAGCUAGGUGCUUAUUCUUUAGGCAGCCGAGGUACUUCUUCCUGUCGCAGCAUUUCCACAGUACCAGAUUUGCCAGAGGAAACAAGGACAAAACACAUAUCAUGUUCCCGGAAAGAAAAGCAAUGAAAACAUUAAGAGCAUAAGUCACCUCUCCUGCUUUUCAACACCUGAAAUAAGAAAUUGAUAUGGUGGGGUAUGGACAUCUUGGGGUAAAGACAUGAAGUAAGAACUUAUUUUCCCCAACAAAAAUAAAUGUGACACUUUGCUCUUGGGAUGUAACAGAGUAAAGAUGUAACAGAUGUCUCAGAGACAGGACAAAUGAAUAAAAAAAAAAACAGAAACAGCAUUUGCAUUAGAAACAUAAAUAUUUUAGUUUGGUACAGGACUACAGAAUAAGUAUCCCCCUUUAGGCCAGUGGUGAACUGCUGGAGAGUUGCAGCUGCUUUUCCUAGCCAGGGUUGCAUCCCCAGAAAGAGCUUCUCCUAGUAAGGAAGCAGGAAGUAGUACUCCUCAGAACUGGAUCCUAACUACUAGAACAAGCGUGACUUAGAUUAAUAGUAGACCAAAGCAAAGCAGAAUGUUGCAUAAGACAGUACAAAAGAAAAGAUACUUGUCAGGAAGAAGUGGAGUAGGUCUGGGGGUUGGUAAUCAGGAUCUGUUCCAAGGAUAUUGAAUCUCUUUUUUUUUUUUUUUUUUUUGUAAUUGCUUAUGUAGUGGCUGGUCUCCAGUUCUUCCCCUUGUAGUGAGGCUUUUUUUGUUUGCAAGAGAAAAGCAUAAUGGAUCAGACAUUUGAGAUCCAUUGCCUUUGGAGUACUGGAUUUCAAGACUUUAAUGUUAUACUAAACCGAAAGGCUUAUGCUGAGGGAGGCAAUGGCAUCAACAAGAGCCAUUCUGACAGGCAGAAAGUCAGCAAGCCAAAAAAUAAAGUAAUAAAUUCUGUUUUAACUUUUCUAAAGAGUGUGUGUGUGUAGGGGGUGGGGGUGGG
ensembl:lncRNA